rnacentral:rRNA from 1 species
AACCCUCGUCCUUAGUUGUCCAUCAUUAAGUUUGGGUCGACUUUUAAGGAAACUAGCCGGUGAGUAAGCCGGAGGAAGGUGGGGAUGACGUCAAGUCCUCAUGGCCCUUACAGGCUGGGCUACACACGUGCUACAAUGGCAUCUACAGUGGGCAGCUAUUCCGCAAGGAUGCGCUAAUCUCCAAAAGAUGUCUCAGUUCGGAUUGUCCUCUGCAACUCGAGGGCAUGAAGGCGGAAUCGCUAGUAAUCGCGGAUCAGCAUGCCGCGGUGAAUACGUUCCCAGGCCUU